AGGAGCUGUAGGAGGAAGUUUUGCUGUUUGAGAGACUGAGCAGUCUAUACAUAUCAGGCACAAGGAAGAAGGCCCUGAGAUGAGAAAAUGGAAGUGCAGCUGGUGUCAAGUAUACUUUGGACAUAUUGCAUGAGGGUGACAAUAUGCAGUAUGUCCCUGCUGCAGCAAAUGUGAGCAUGAAAACAUAAUUAUCUUUGUUUGCCUCAUCCAAACUGCCAUUUACUUCAAUAAAAAAGUGAUACUAUUGCUGCCGUCCUUAUCUAUCUAUCCCUCCUUCCUCCCUGCAAUACUUGAGAUGACAAGAUUGCAAAAAUAAUUAUUUGUAAUACAAAGUUGCAACAAUCAAGAGAUGUGUGAGAAGUGGUGUUUAUACCCUUGACCAACAUGGGUGCAGAGCACAGGACUAAUGAGAACUUUGGUGAACCAAGUGCUUUUCAAAACAGCAAAGGCCUGACAGUGUUGUAAGUUGAAGUCACUCCACUGAAAUCAACGGAAUAACACCAAAGCAGCUGAAGUGAUGGUUCUGCCUUGGUUGGGAGUGACUAUAGACUGAAAACUGAUGAGGCUGGGGUAUAAAUGGCAGAGCAGGCCAACCAUCCCUCAGUCCUUUUGCCAAUACAUUAACCCAGAGAAGUAGGAAUCUGUAGCAGUGUAGAAGGUGGGUGGACAAUACAUCUCAAAGAACCACAGUAAAUGUAAGGGCUCUUGAUACCCACCUCCAAGAAAUGACUUCAGGAUAGCCCUAUCAAAAUGGGCAUCCUGUGUGGAAGACUUUACCAAAAGAACAGUAACUUGAAAGUCUGUGGACCAAACUCCAUACAGCUGCCCUAGAGAUUUGAGAAACAAGGAUGUUCUUCAAAGAGGAACCCUGAGCUCUAAUGGAAUGAGCUCUCACAUGGAUGGGGGAUGUGAGGACAUCUAAGGUGAAGGCAUGGCUGCAACAGGCACUGCUGACAAAAAGAACCUGAUCUUGUGCAUAUGGGGCACAUACGCACCAGGAGUGGACAAUCACUUGAAGAAUCUAAUGUUUGCUACAGUCAAAACUGCUAUUUAUGCAUUACAACAUAUCAAAACAAUCAUGAGUUUUAUUCGACUUCUGUAUAAUUUAGAGAUGAAAUCCAACUGUAAUAUUUAGAUCCUGGUCUGUCUUCCCCAAAGUUCAGUGGUAUUUAGAUCCAGAAACUGGGUUCAGAAAUACCAGCCAUCUCUCAAAUUUGUAUCUGCAUCUGGAUUCCAAGCCUCACAUUUCCAAAUGUUCAGAGUAUGCCCAUCUCUACUAAUGUAUAAAGUGUACCCAUUUAUCUUAGUUCAUUAUGCCCAGGUAUUACGAUAAUAUUUUGCCUUUAAAUAGCACCAUUUAUAUAAAGAUUUUAAAGUAAUUUACAAACUUUCCUCUAUGAAAUCCCACUGAAUCAUAAUAAGAGCAUUUUAAAUACACUUUUGUGUUUAUAAUAUAUUAAGUCAUAGACUGAAGACACUUACCCCUGCAAAGUGUUAACUCGACCCCCCCCACCAAACUGAAUAAGAAUUAAGUGUUGAUAAAGACAAUAGUUCAGUAUUCAUAAACUUGCAAAAUACAAUUUCAUUUUUAUAGUGUUUUAAAAAAUUCUAUAUGAAUUAAAGAAAUAGGGAAAAUAGAGUAGAUUUUUUGUUUUUAAAUGUUAAAUAAAAAGGAACAAAAUAUAUU